UUCAGAGACCUCAAGCGUUAUCCGGAAUCAUUGGGCGUAAAGCGUGCCGAUAGGUGGUUUAUUUAGUCUUGGGUAAAAGCCAGAAGCUCAACUUCUGAGUUUGCUUAAGAUACUAAUAAACUAGAGGGGCAAAUAGGUAACUGGAACGAACGGUGUAGUAGUGAAAUGCGUUGAUAUCGUUCGGAACACCGAAAGCGAAGGCAGGUUACUGGGUGCCUCCUGACACUGAUAGGACGAAAGCGUGGGUAGCGAAUGGG
rnacentral:rRNA from 1 species